CUUUUCUCCUGCAUAUAAGGAACUCAAUUUACUCCUCUCUUUCUCAUACCUUCCCUUGACUUCAAAUAAUAUUCUUAUUUUCAUAUCCUUUCACUUAUUCAUUCAUAUACCAACAAAUGACAUCAUCUUGGACUGCAAGGCAGAACAAACUGUUCGAACAAGCAUUAGCUUUAUACGAUAGAGAAACUCCUGAUAGAUGGCACAAUGUUGCCAAUGUGGUUGGAAAAUCAGUUGAAGAUGUUAAAAGUCACUAUGAAAUCCUCAAAGAAGAUGUUCAACGUAUUGAGCAUGGCCAUGUUCCUUUUCCUCGCUACAAAACUAACACCAACAAUUGAUCCUAAUAAGGUUCUUGAAGAAUUCAAUAAGCUUGAAUAAUCAAUAUUUGAGUUUAUCUUUAAUAAACAACAAUGGAUAGUGUUUCUUUGGCGCAAGCUAUCCUGCCAAAUGAAUUGUGACAGCCUUUAUUCUCCUCAAAAUUUUAUUUAUUUAGAAUAA